AUUAGGUCAAAAUUAAUAUCGAAGAUACAUGAUCCAAAAAUCUACCCAUGUUAGAAUUUAAUUACAACAAUAACAUAUUUGGAUGCAUACGCUUCUGAAGUUCCACAAGAUUAGAAUAUUAGCACGUAGCCCAAUACUAUCGUUCAGAGUUUAUAAAUAUUUUUUUAUUUUUUUAUUUGUGUUAAUCGGAUUUUGAAAAAGAACUAAUUAAUAAGAAAAUGGAUUUGAGAGUCAAAUCUAAAUAUUUGCAGUAUGUAUAUUUUUCUAUUCGUGUGUGUGCCUUUCUUCACUUGCAUGACACGGAUGCUUAUGAAGAAAGGGCUGCAUGACCGGGCCGGGCAGGGUAGGGAACCGACCCGCGCCGCCUCAACCCGUCGUGUGGUGCAUCGCAUCGCCCGCCAGCGAC
rnacentral:lncRNA from 1 species